rnacentral:rRNA from 1 species
AUUGAACGCUGGCGGCAUGCUUUACACAUGCAAGUCGAACGGCAGCACGGACUUCGGUCUGGUGGCGAGUGGCGAACGGGUGAGUAAUACGUCGGAACGUACCCAGUAAUGGGGGAUAACUAUCCGAAAGGAUAGCUAAUACCGCAUACGCCCUCAGGGGGAAAGAGGGGGAUCGCAAGACCUCUUGUUAUUGGAGCGGCCGAUGGCUGAUUAGCUAGUUGGUGGGGUAAAGGCCUACCAAGGCAACGAUCAGUAGCGGGUCUUAGAGGACGAUCCGCCACACUGGAACUGAGACACGGUCCAGACUCCUACGGGAGGCAGCAGUGGGGAAUCCUGGACAAUGGGCGCAAGCCUGAUCCAGCAAUGCCGCGUGCGUGAAGAAGGCCUUCGGGUUGUAAAGCGCUUUUGUCAGGGAGCAAAUCCUUGUGGCUAAUACCCACCGGGGAUGAGAGUACCUGAAGAAUAAGGACCGGCUAACUACGUGCCAGCAGCCGCCGUAA